rnacentral:rRNA from 1 species
CAAGUACACCGGCGUGUCGUCCGUCUACACCUGUAAAAGUUUUCUAUUUAGAUAGUAGGGGGCUUUUUGUGUUUAGGUACAAGCCGUGUUAAACUUAACCGGCAAGAAGCUUCGUCUUAAACAGCACAUAAAGGAACUAUCCUAAUCUUAUAACACCGUCUUAUACACGUAGAACACAUUUCUAACAGUUCAAAUUAAGUAUACGGUAAAGUCAUCGUGGAAUACUCUACUGUCGUGUUUUUAAAAAAACCCCACAGUUGCCUUUGACAAAUGACCGAAAGAGGACUGGAAACACCGAACCUCUUUCUUAUGUGCAGACCCAAUCGUUGUCGUAUGAUUGACACGGGAACUAUACAGAAACCUUUCACUGACGGUGGACAAUAGGUGAACAAAGAAAAAGAAAGUAUUCCUGCUUUCUUAGCAUCGUAAUGUUCUCACCUGAACUUUUCUUCCGUCUUGUUCUCGCUUGUAACGUUGAGGACCACUCCGAGCACCAAGACGAUGGAACUUCCGGUAUUGUAAGAAAACACACGAACGUCAAGAACAUCGACUAUAGGUCCCCGCAGCAGUACGAACAAGAGGAAAAAGAACGCCGGUAGACGUUCUGCAGGCCGUGGGAAAGGCGGCCUCUCCACUAGGUCCGCUCACGCCUCAAUGUAACAUGCUCGACCGAACGUGGCUAUCGUCCCGAUGGUAAUGCUAGUUGUCGACCUGUAUGAAACACUGACUCUAUUUAAUACGGUUAAGAAGGAAGAACCAACAGCUACGGUUUAACCUGAACUCGUCGUCGACGGGAUAAGGAGCGGCCUUGGGCGUCGGAAUGGAGAAACCGGAACUUUCCAAUCUUCAGAGCCUCAUGUACAUACUUGACCGGGGAGCGAGUCAAUACAAACGAUGGAAGCACUUAACGAGCGUCCUCCAGUCCUUGUUAUCAGGGAUGAAUGGCCAACGAACGGCGUCGUGCUCGAGGAGAAAACAAAUACACGACUAACCACUAGGGUGACUGUAAAAGCGGGAGUUCGGAAGGACACCUAUGGACCGAUACUGAUAAAACCUUCCGCUCUCUAGCGGUAUAAUACGUUUAAUACCUCUACAGCACCUUAGGUACUCUUUGCCUAAACGUCAAUCAAAAGGCGUUCUAGAACCUUGUUCGAAACCUGGGAACGGCAACGAGUCAUAACCGUUUAAUUAGUCACGUGACUUCAGAUCUUCCAUAUGCACCCUUUUCUAAAACCUAGAAAACGAUUGAGCAAACAAAGGAGCAUAUGGACCUUUUAUACGUAUACGUCGUUAAGGGUACACCUAACGGGUCACCUAACGUUAUUGGCGACCAUGAAGUGUCGGUAAAUAAUAACUAAUUGAUAAUCAGGGAAAUAAAUAGACAGACAAGAUAGUAGGGUUUUACCCUUUAAACGUCAAACAACUAGUACUUUCGAAUAAUGAUUUCUGACGUAUUUAAACGAAUACGUCAUGAUACGUCCAAGUACGACGGCGGUGACCACCAUAACUGAAAGGAACGGAUGUUCAUGACCUCUUGUUCCUAUUGUUAACUACGUCAGCUCUUCAAGAACGCCUACGUUGUUUACCACCCGGGUUAGUCCAUGUCGAUGUGACUGUAGUGGCGUCACUGUUCCGUAAAGUCUCUAUUUAACCCGGUUCCCCCGAUACCGAGUCAGAUGUUUCCACAAGAAGAGGGUCCUCUAUAGGUACAACGACAAUUCUACGAUCGUCCAUCGAGGUUAACGUUGCCUCUUCUAAAAUAUUCACUCCAGAGGUGGUAACCGUCCUAGGUGGUACAGUUGCACCAGGUAGAGUACCCCAAGACGAGCCUCCUUUACUCUUCCCGGGAUUAGAUACUCAUGUACGGAUUACCAAGAGAACUGUUUAUGUAGAAAAGCAGCCUCUCCUCGAAGAGAACCCUGUUCGAGUUACUCUAACGAAACCCCUAACGCUCCCCAUAGUUGAUGGACGUAGUCCCCACGCUGUACGUCUAAAACGUGAAGCUGUAGUUCGGCGUGUUGUAAGAAGAGCUAUGGUUAAACCAAGGGUUUCAACGACUAAAGCCGGACCGGUUUGACAUGGGUUCCCUACUGUCGAAACACGGCAACUCACGAUACGCCCCUUGGUAACCCAUGUAUCGAGGACUCUACCAUAGAGCCUCGAAACCACACCAUAGUUCGUUUAGACUACAAAUGUCGAAGCCUUACGACGAUGACCUUUACCGUCCUCCUGCGGCCUUACGACUGGGCUUACGUAGUUUGAGUUCGGUCCGCAUGAUGGGCAGGACCCACAUGCUGUCCGAUUGUUCCGUUGUUCUUCACCCACUCUAUAGGCGCCGUCUACUCUACGUGCUCAACCUCUCCUUCGAAACAGAGCAACCCGAUACGACGUAGGUCUACUUCAGAGUGCUAGCCGGCUGCUACUCGCUCCGGUAUCUCUACGAGCUUCCACCGCAACUUCCGGACGUACACGGAAGGUCCGGUAAGAAGACACUGCUACUCGUGCGGGGACAUCGACGCCUAAGAGUGGUGCAGAAGAGACUCGACUGACGAGACAGCCUCCUACUACUCAAACUACUACGAAGAUGCGUUCUGUUGUCGCGACCAGAAUCUUUACGUCUCAUCAGUUCUCAUCAGUCAUCUCACCCAAGUGCCAAGUCACUCUAAAUGACCAAAAAUGAGAAAACAUCGUCACGGCACGAUGCCACACAUGAUACUAACUUUAGAACGACGACAUGCACCUACGCGGACUGUUUAUAUACAGUCUAUUAGACCUUAAAACCACUGGCGGACUACCAGCGCCUAAUCCUUCUUUACAUGAGUUAACCAAUAAUUUUUUACCUUUGUUACAACCUCUUUAAAGUAAGUUGAGACUUACGUUGGGAAGGAAUGGGUAAAUGUCUCAUCCCGCCGUGUUCUAUGAUCUCAACGUCCCGUUCGUUCAGAGUAGGUCAGCAAGGUCAGAGAAAACAAGUGAACUGCCGACUUGAGAAAAAAAAAACAACUCAGCCCACGUCUUACGUAACGAAACUACGACGCAAUUCCUCGUCAUUUUAGAAGGAAGAAAAAAAAGAUACUUUUGUUGCCACUUAGAUCC